GAUGAACGCUGGCGGCGUGCCUAACACAUGCAAGUCGAGCGCGUCUGAUUUGAUGCUUGCAUUGAUGAAAGAUGAGCGGCGGACGGGUGAGUAACGCGUGGGUAACCUGCCCUAUACACAUGGAUAACAUACUGAAAAGUUUACUAAUACAUGAUAAUAUAUAUUUACGGCAUCGUAGAUAUAUCAAAGUGUUAGCGGUAUAGGAUGGACCCGCGUCUGAUUAGCUAGUUGGUGAGAUAACUGCCCACCAAGGCGACGAUCAGUAGCCGACCUGAGAGGGUGAUCGGCCACAUUGGAACUGAGACACGGUCCAAACUCCUACGGGAGGCAGCAGUGGGGAAUAUUGCACAAUGGGCGCAAGCCUGAUGCAGCAACGCCGCGUGAACGAUGAAGGUCUUCGGAUCGUAAAGUUCUGUUGCAGGGGAAGAUAAUGACGGUACCCUGUGAGGAAGCCCCGGCUAACUACGUGCCAGCAGCCGCGGUAAUACGUAGGGGGCUAGCGUUAUCCGGAUUUACUGGGCGUAAAGGGUGCGUAGGUGGUCUUUCAAGUCGGUGGUUAAAGGCUACGGCUCAACCGUAGUUAGCCUCCGAAACUGGAAGACUUGAGUGCAGGAGAGGAAAGUGGAAUUCCCAGUGUAGCGGUGAAAUGCGUAGAUAUUGGGAGGAACACCAGUAGCGAAGGCGGGCUUUCUGGACUGCAACUGACACUGAGGCACGAAAGCGUGGGUAGCAAACAGG
rnacentral:rRNA from 1 species